GGGGACGUAGCUCAGUCGGCAGAGCAUCUCCUUUGCAAGGAGAGGGUCAGGAGUUCGAGUCUCCUCGUCUCCACCA
rnacentral:tRNA from 1 species